GACGAACGCUGGCGGCGUGCUUAACACAUGCAAGUCGAACGGAAAGGCCCUGCUUGCAGGGUACUCGAGUGGCGAACGGGUGAGUAACACGUGGGUGAUCUGCCCUGCACUUCGGGAUAAGCCUGGGCAACUGGGUCUAAUACCGGAUAGGAGCCAUUUUUAGUGUGAUGGUUGGAAAGUUUUUUCGGUGUUGGAUGAGCUCGCGGCCUAUCAGCUUGUUGGUGGGGUAAUGGCCUACCAAGGCGGCGACGGGUAGCCGGCCUGCGAGGGUGGACGGCCACAUUGGGACUGAGAUACGGCGCAGACGCCUACGUGAGGCAGCGGUGGGGAGUAUUGCACAAUGGGCGCAAGCCUGAUGCAGAGACGCCGCGUGGGGGAUGACGGCCUUCGGGUUGUAAACUCCUUUCGCUAGGGACGAAGCUUUUUGUGACGGUACCAAGAUAAGAGGCACCGGCUAACUACGU
rnacentral:rRNA from 1 species